GUAUAACUUCCUCACGCCAUACUAUCACCAUACGAUGUGAGAUCCAGAAAAGAAGAAGCAGCAGAAGCCUUUUAAGUACAAAAUCUUUGCCGUGGCCAGUGACGGCAAAGUUAUGAUUCCUGCAACAUGACAAUAAUGGGCAGAAUGGGUCAGAAGGACAUCGGCUGUAAAAAACAGGCCUAAGCUAGCAAAUACCGUCCUUUGAAUUUGAAAUUUGGGACCCCAUUAUGCCCAUUUGGGUCAUUAUCAUCACAACAAUGGUCCUAUCCUGUCCCACAUGUCUCCAUCACCCUCACCUACUGCCACACACCCAACUGCUCAAAAAUAUCCCCGUGACACCAUAUUCCAGCCUGGCCUUUUCCCAACGAAAUUGCCGUUUAAUACAAGGUACCUUCUGGGACAUUUCCUUAGUGCCAAUGCAUACAUUCUUCGUACAUUAGAGAGAGCUAUUUGCCAUUGACAAGGACUGCACUAAGCCUUUGUAACUUUCAAUCAUUCCAAAAAGACAAUACAGAUUAAACAUGUACACUCACCCACGGCAGCCAUUUCUUAUCUAGCUCCUCUCCUUGCUUUAAAUUUAAAAUCUACAUAAUUUAUUUAUGUAAAAACAAAAAUACUUAUACAAUUACUAAUCCUGCCACUAUCUGAAAGUCCCAGCAACUUAUUCCUUCUACGAAUUUAUUACUAAUCCUCCCAGUGCACUCGUUUCUGAAUGCUCAAGCAUCAAGCCUCCACUUGUAAAUUGCAAUAUGAAGAAUGAAAGACCAUUUCAAGAAAAUGUAAUAAAUCAGUAAAGAAUUUAGCAGCUACUAUCACCUCUACUCUCUAAAACUCAUAUUAUAUCAAAGCACUCUGCUAAUAAUCGAUCUUAAUCAGAUAUCUACUGGAAAUUAACUAGACAUCAGCCAAAUGUUACAUUGUUAGAAUCAGAGGAGACACUGCAUCAUUCACUAAUGAACCAUUCUCCCAUAUCAGUAUAUGAUCAGAUCUAAUCUAUAUGUUAGUUUAUAUGUAUAUAAUUAUACAACGCCUCAAACAUCCAGAAAUCUCACUCCAUUGGUCUGUCAGCUAGUUUCCGUCUCUUCGCAGCAUUGAUGAAUUCUGCAAUCACUCGUGCCUCAUCCAAUGGUUGCUGUGAAGCAAAGUGUUCUCGCACAACAUUAAGCAUUUGCUCCCUUGAUGAAUCAGAGUGAACACCCGCAAGGUUGAAUCGUCUGCAAUAUCUCCGUAGUGAUUCUGUUCCAAGUUUAGCCAAAUUCACCUUCAACUGGGGGGUAUGAGUAAUCGACUGAACAUCUCUGGAACUGCUAAAAUUUGUUGACUUUGCUAAUGGAAAGCAUGGCCUUGUUGAGCGAACUCUUGGCUUGCUAAUUUUAUGGAACUCACUGCCACUAGAGAAAUCAUGGUCUUUUUCACCAAUGUCAGAGCCACUGCUAGUAUCAAAAUCAUUAUCUUCAUCCACUUCAUUCCCAGUAGCAUGUUCCAACACACUCAAUGCAUUCCUUUGCAGCUUAACUUCAACACCAUUUUUUAGAACCUUGCAUGUCAAAAUCAUUACGGAUGCAUCAUCAUAAAUUUCAUAACCCACAACAAAGGGACAGAGAGCGAAAUAAAGCAGUAAAAAACAAGCAACUAGUGACCAACAAUCAAUCACAGAAAGUUCCAUCUCAUCAGAUACAACUUCCAAAAUAUGCAAAAUGAUACAUCUUUUCCUUUCUUCAACAAUAGAUUUCUGGUAUUCUGCAAUUCGCAAAACUUGAAGCAAAUAAAAAAAAAAAAAAACCAUUGAGAAGACAAUGGAUAUUAAAAAUUUAUCUAUUUUUAUUGUUCCUACUUCUUACUUCCUAUUGAAUUGAAGAGCUUUUCAAUUUUAAUUGUGACUCAUUUUAUAUGUCUAGAUGUGUCUAAGGAUUUGAAAGAAAUUAUGAAAUUCUUCAUUCAUUUUUAUUACUACCAUUCAACAAGAUAUAGUUGCAUGUUCUCUAAAUUAAGUUCCUAGUUCUUCAACAUUGCAAAACUUGAGGUCAAAUUUUUUCCAAUCGGGCAAGAAUGAUGCAGAUAAGGAAAAUAAAUUAUGUGAAUUUAAUUUUUCAUUGUAAACUUAAGAACUCUAGGUUUCUUUUAAUUAAGAAGUUCAUAUUAUUUAGGAUUUUAUUAUUAUAUAGGAAGUAGUAUUUUAUUUAGAAACUUUAAAUUGAUUUGGGAUUCUUCAAUUUCUUUUGGUUUAGUAUUCCUAAUAAGUUACUAAUAGGACUACUUGAUAAACAAUAAAUGGCAUAGGUAUUUUAUUGGGGAGAGUCUAUUAUGAUGUUUUUAUUGACAAUUAAAAAGAUUUUGGGAAUUAGUUUCCCUUAUUUAUUUGAGAAUUUGUUUCUCUAAAGAAUGUGUUUCUCUACCAGUUGAGGAGGAUCUGUUUCUGACCUCAAUUUGGGAUCAGAACUUGUUCUACAUCAAUAAAACUUGCUUAUUAAUGAUAAGUGCACUAAAAUAUAAGACUUGCUUAGUAAUAGAAGGAGAAUUGGAACAAAGUAAUAAAAAUAUAAGACUUGAUUAGUAAUAGAAGUGGAAUUGGAAAAAAGUAAGGCAUGCAAAGCUAAAUGGAUUCUAUCUGAUCACAGCAUAUACAAGCUUGAUGAUUGGCUAGCAAGCAUUUUGUCCUUUGCAUUGCAAUUAUCAAGUAGAAAGCAGGCAAAAUAUAACUGAUAAAGGGCAGCAUUGCCAAAGAUAAAAGAAACAAGCACAAGAAAUGUAGCUGGUCAAUUGAUCCAAAUGAAUACCGAUUCCAAGAAAGGACCCAAUGAAAAGAAUAGCUCUUGGUCCUAAACAUCAGUAUGUGACAAAUGGCAAACUGUAAAGAAAUAGAUUAAUAACAAGCUUCUUAAAAUAACAUGUUAAAUAUGAGCAAAGGUUAUGGCCAUUUCCCAGCCACAAAUAUAUCUCUUGAAAUGUGAUGGACAGCACAAAUGAUAAUCAAAUUGACAAGUUACUAUAUCUUUGGAUUUGAAAACUCAUCAGCACAUUUGUAGGUUUUAGCAAAAACUUUGAAUCACAUAGAAGAAAAUAACAUAAAUCAGACACAAUAAAUUAGAGAUUAAUUAAUUCAACAAUCACCCUUAAACAAGAUUACAGUCUCUCUAAACCAAAUCAACAAUCAUUCUUUUUAUUUUAUUUUACAUUUCCCUCUAUGUUCGAAAAGUUGCAUUAGAUAUGCCGCAAAAUACAGAUAACAAUUCUUCUUCAAAUUCAAAUUUUGUAAUUUUGUGAGACCGUGAAACUAGAUUCAAUUUUAAUGAAUAUAUCCCAUCAAACUUGAAGCUCCAGAAAAAAAUUUCAACACAGCACAUUGUUUAAGAACUGCAUUUCACUUUUCACAUACAUUCUCCUUGGAAUUUUGAUCUAACUGAUAGGCAAAAGAUCAUACCAAUGUGUACAAUCAGAUGUAUGAAAGAGCUUUGAGAAACUUUUUCAUCAGAAAUUAAUAAAGUAGUAAUUGCAGUAAGAUUAAAUUUACUUGAAGUACAUAAUAUAUACAGUGAAAAUUUUAGGAGUUACGCUGGAAAUUGAAAAACAAAAGGAACUAUAUCGAAGGCUAAAAACAGCUUUCAUUCAUCAACAGUGAAAUUAAGACCAAGCUUUACUGAUGUAUUCAAUUAUGUAUUUUCAUUUGUGAAGGUUUUAACAGCAAUAUGAAUAAAAAUUUAGCGAUUGUUAGUACCAGAUUAGCUACAAAAAACAUAGUCCCCCUUCAGUCUCCAAGACUAAGAAAUUGCUAAUAACAUGGUAACAUUCACAGAUGGUCCGUUGGCAUCAGCCACAAAUGAUAUAUCAUAUUCUAUAAUGGGGAUGCACAUAAAUAUCUAUCUUCUGCUACUCAGAUCUUUUUCCCUACUAUCUUUUUCUUUUUAACACGAUUUUGAGUACUAAAAUAUACAAGAACCACUCAAUCAAAUUGCUCAUAGAAACUAAAUCCAGCUCAAAACAUGUAUAUACCAAGCAUGCAAGUGCUUCAUCAAGGUAAGCGAAUGGAGAUCGACAGCAAAAUCCAAUUUAAUAUAAAUAAAGAUUAUAUCAGUAUUUUGCUUCAUAAUACAGAUUGUAAAAGUAUUUCACUGAACAAAAAGAAUAUCAAGAUCCUGCAUUGAAAGCAAAAACCCAACACAGGAAUCGAUUUUUCUUUUACUUCUUUAGAA
rnacentral:misc_RNA from 1 species